GACUUUACAGUCAGCUUUACCUGGCGGGGAAUUCCCACAUUUAUGUCCUGAGUUAUGUUUGUUAUGUGUUUGUGAAUAUAUUUUAUUGAUACGUUUAUAUCAAAUCUGUUUUACGGAUAAAGCAUUAACCCUGAAUUCAGAACAGCACGCUAACAUUUUCAUGCCAGCAAUGAUGCCUGAUGUGCAUACGUCAUCCUGCUUGCUGUUGACCUUGACCUUUGUCGUUCUAACAUGCUCUCAAGAACAAUCCCCAGCACCUGCCGGAAUCCGUCUUUCAGUGCCGGAAAGCGAGUUUAACCGCUUUACCGCUUUGAGUAUUCAUCGUCGGACACAUUUCUUGCAGAAGAUCCAGUUCGACAAUUUAACUGGCCACGACAAUGACUUGUCAUGGACACUUACCAAUAUCCACGGAUCUAAUCUGACAAACAUGGAGAUACACGCCAUGUUUGGGGAUGAUGGCAACGUAACAACACACGGAACCUUGCGUAAUUGUUCUCUGAUGAUGGAUUGGUCAAUGUCGGAGGUGAUGGUUAUCGGAAAGGCA